rnacentral:rRNA from 1 species
UCCGGUUGAUCCUGCCGGAGGCUACUGCUAUUGGAAUUCGACUAAGCCAUGCGAGUUUAAAGGACUUCGGUCCUUGGCAGACGGCUCAGUAACACGUGGAGAACCUGCCCUCAGGAGGGGGAUAACCCCGGGAAACUGGGAAUAAUACCCCAUAGGUCUAGAAUGCUGGAAUGCUUUUAGGCCGAAAGCUCCGGCGCCUGAGGAUGGCUCUGCGGCUUAUCAGGUUGUAGUGAGAGUAACGUCCUCACUAGCCUAUGACGGGUACGGGCCCUGAGAGGGGAUGCCCGGAGAUGGACUCUGAGACACGAGUCCAGGCCCUACGGGGCGCAGCAGGCGCGAAAACUCCGCAAUGCUCGAAAGAGUGACGGGGGGAUUCCAAGUGCCUACGCUUAGCGUAGGCUGUUCGGAUGCCUAAAAAGCAUCUGGAGUAAGGGCUGGGUAAGACGGGUGCCAUCUGCAGCGGCAGUGAAAGAUUUGACUUGCUGCUGCAAGGCAUAAGCCGCCGCGGUAAUACCCGCAGCCCGAGUGGUAGUCGAUUUUAUUGGGCCUAAAGCGUCCGUAUCCGGUCUGAUAAAUGCUUGGGUAAAUCGUCUGGCUUAACCAGACGAAUUCCGGGUAGACUGUCAGACUUGGGACCGGUUGAGGAAGAGGGUACUUUAGGGGUAGGAGUGAAAUCCUGUAAUCCUUGAAGGACCACCAGUGGCGAAGGCGCUCUUCUAGGGCGGGUCCGACGGUGAGGGACGAAAGCCAGGGGAGCAAACCGGAUUAGAUACCCGGGUAGUCCUGGCCGUAAACGAUGUGGGCUUUGCAUUGGGGGUUCUACGUGGGCGCCCAGUGCCGUAGCGAAGGCGUUAAGCCCACCGCCUGGGAAGUAUGGUCGCAAGGCUGAAACUUAAAGGAAUUGGCGGGGGAGCACAGCAACGGGAGGAGCGUGCGGUUUAAUUGGAUUCAACGCCGGAAAACUCACCGGAGGAGACUGUCGUAUGUGGGUCAGGCUGAAGACCUUACCCGAAUAAAAGACAGAGAGGUGGUGCAUGGCCGCCGUCAGCUCGUACCGUAGGGCGUUCUGUUAAGUCAGAUAACGAGCGAGACCCCUGCCCUUAGUUGCCACUCUGAAGUCCGCUUCAGAAGCACACUAAGGGGACCGCUGGUGAUAAACCAGAGGAAGGAGGGGGCAACGGUAGGUCAGUAUGCCCUGAAUCCUCCGGGCAACACGCGCGCUACAAAGGCCGGGACAAUGGGUCGCGACCUCGAAAGGGGAAGCUAAUCUCGAAACUCGGUCGUAGUUCGGAUUGAGGACUGUAACCCGUCCUCAUGAAGCUGGAUUCCGUAGUAAUCGCGGAUCAACAUCCCGCGGUGAAUAUGCCCCUGCUCCUUGCACGCACCGCCCGUCAAGCCAGGCGAGUUGGGUUUGGGUGAGGGUCUGCUUUAUGGCAAAUUCGAACCCAGGCUCAGCGAGCGGGGCUAAGUCGUAACAAGGUAGCC